AGAGUAGCCCGGGCAACGAAGGAGCCCAGGACACACGGUCACGUUUGGGACAUGUUUUGAUUACAUAGUCAAAAUAAUUGAUGGACUAGAUAUCGGAUAUGAAAGUCAAAGUAAUCAAGACUGACUACUCUGUAAAUGAACCAGGAGAAAAUGGCAAGGUUGCUGAGGAUACAUGCAAGAAAGAAAUUAUAGUAAUGAACCAUGGCAUCUAAACCAAGUAAGAAGGAAGUGAGGGCUUAAAAAAGUGGUGAGUCAAUGCAUUAUAUAAAUGAGACUGAAGAAUAGUUAUUAAAGUAAGUGAAUUGAAAGGCAAGAGUUUCUUUGAUUCUUUAGUUGGAGAGUUGAUCACUACGAAGUCCUUUCAUAAAUAUUCCUGACUUUUGCUGGCAGAAUUGUCUCCAGCAUUAGCCACUGAUAAAUUCUUAUGAUACCUUCUGUAUGCUUGUGACUAUUUAAUGAAAUAAUGCUAAUGAUGGACAUGCUAACAGAAACACAUCAGCUAUCCACUGCUUUAUUGGAUUUCUUCAAAGCCAGUACUGGAAAGGACAAGCAUUAAAAUCUGGUGCUUCCUGUGACACAUUACCAGAAGCAAGGUGGCUCCCAGGGCUACGCAAAAAAGAAUGGGUCCAGUGAGCAAAGGAGGCUCUUCAUCAAAACUGUCAAUGUAAGGAGAUUGUGAAUAAUAAUCUGAGUUGGAUGCUGGCUGAAAAAAUUGUCCUGCG